CAAAAUACCAAACUAUCAAUAUAAAAAUCACCAAAUCUAAUCUUGCUUUCUUUGUAAUUUCGCAGUGAUAUUUAUAAAGGGAUGGAUCUUUUAUACUGCAACCUUUACAGUGUCAAAGUUAUUCAAACGCAGGAUUUAAAUAUUACUUACUUGAGAGACCAGAGUUUAGGAAAAAUAAAUAUGCCGCAUUAACGUUUAUUUGGCCUGCAAAAAGAAUGGUUCGAAUAGAGGGAAUCACUAACGGUCUACCGAAACAUGAAAUACAACAAUUCUUCUUUAAUAAAAUCCCUUAUGAUGAACAAAUAACCAUGUUUUGCUUUUGUAAUUUGAAAUCUAUUAAAAACAAAGAAGACCUAAUAGAACAAAUUGAUGAAACCAAGAGGAAAUAUGAAAAAGGAAAAGUCCCGAUGCCUCCUUAUUUUUCUGGGCAUUUAUUGGAACCAAAGAAUAUAGAAUUUUAUGAACAUACCGGGGAUACUUAUCAAAAAAGGUUAAAAUUUCUAAAGAAAGAAGAAAAACCUGAAGAAAAGAAUCAAUUGUUGUUUGAGGGCGAAAAUGGUUGGAACUAUCAAAUUUUGUCUCCAUAAAUUUACCACAUAUAUUGAAAAUAAAGUAAUUAACUCAA
rnacentral:misc_RNA from 1 species